rnacentral:rRNA from 1 species
CCUACGGGCGGCAGCAGUGAGGAAUAUUGGUCAAUGGCCGUAAGUCUGAACCCGCCAAGUCGCGUGCAGGAAGACGGAUCUAUGGUUUGUAAACUUCUUUUAUAGAGGAAUAAAGGUAUCCACGUGUGUAUAUUUGCAUGUACCCUAUGAAUAAGCAUCGGCUAACUCCGUGCCAGCAGCCGCGGUAAUACGGAGGAUUCGAGCGUUAUCCGGAUUUAUUGGGUUGAAAGGGUGCGUAGGAUGUUUUUUAAGUCAGCGGUGAAAGUUUGUGGCUCAACCAUAAAAUUGCCUUUGAAACUGGCAGACUUGAGUGUGUUUGAGGUAGGCGGAAUGCGUGGUGUAGCGGUGAAAUGCAUAGAUAUCA